UAAGAAGGGGGCGUGGGUGCAGCCCUCCGGACCCCAGGAUGUGAGAGCGACCAAGUGAGGCAGGCAAUAGCUUCUAUUCCACCGACUUCUGUUGGGGAGAGAGACACGCUUUCAGACCUGAAGAAGAGCUCUGACAUCAACAACACUUGAAGAAGAAAGGAAGCAGCAUUGGACUGGGGAGAAAGACCCUGACUGAAAGAUGCAGCCAGUAUGAUUGUUGGAACUUGUGGGAGCUGGCUGAGAAGAGACUGCAAACUCUGCAUUCUCCCUCUAGACUUCUUUAUGGCUACAAUUAAGUAACAUCCUUUUGGCUCUUACCCCAAUAGUGCCAGCAAGAGAAGAUUGCAUAAUUUCUUCUAUAUUUGGUUUGAUGGUUAAAUCUUAACUAUACUCUGUGACGGUGCCCCCCAUAAGGCUUUAUGGAAAUAUGCUUAUGAAUGUACAUAUGACCUAACUAGAAUGUGUUUUAUGCUACAUAUGUCAUGUAACAUAUCUCUGUAAAGGUUGUGAUCUACUGAAUCUAUUAAUCCUAUUUGUAUGCAUGUAUCAUUUUUGUAUUCAAAGUUAUGAAUAUUGCUGCAUACUUGUUCGAUUCUGAGUAGGUUUUUAGUGAAGCAGUUGGUCAGCUUCCUGAGAAAAGACUAUUCUCAGUAAGUGCCCAAUCAAGAGGCCCUUAAACCAACAAUGAACUUGGAGAUGCCAGUCAACAUCUGGGCUUUGCCAGGAAUGUGGCUUGGCUGGUAAGGAACUCAAUCAUGCAUGGACAUGUGACUUGCCCAGAUGAUUCCCAAACUCCAUUUUGUAGCUGGACUUUGCAUAGGAGAGAGGAGUGGGUCUCCACCCACAAGAGAAAGUCUAUUUAAACCCCUGGGAGACCGCUCCAUUUUGUCUUCAGCUGGCUAAAGAGAGAUCCACCCCCAAAGAUACCUGAAAGAAACUGGAAUAAAGGAUAGUAACUACAGAGGGUGUGAGUGAUUCCUGGACCCAGACUAGAAGGAGGCUAGUCUGUAAAAGAAAGCUUACUGGAACUGGUGAGGUUUUUAUCUGUAUUCAAUUUUAUUACUGUACUAGACUUAGACUUGCAUGUUUUAUUUUAUUUUGCUUGGUAAUUCACUUUGUUCUGUCUAUCACUACUUGGAACCACUUAAAUCCUACUUUCUGUAUUUAAUAAAAUCACUUUUUACUUAUUAAUU